GAUGAACGCUGGCGGCGUGCCUAAUACAUGCAAGUCGAGCGAACAGACGAGGAGCGUGCUCCUCUGACGUUAGCGGCGGACGGGUGAUGAACACGUGUAUAACCUACCUAUAAGACUGGGAUAACUUCGGGAAACCGGAUCUAAUACCGGAUCAUAUAUUGAACCGCAUGGUUCAAUAGUGAAAGACGGUUUUGCUGUCACUUAUAGAGGGUUCCGCGCCGCAUUAGCUAGUUGGUAAGGUAACGGCUUACCAAGGCAACGAUGCGUAGCAGACCUGAGAGGGUGAUCGGCCACACUGGAACUGAGACACGGUCCAGACUCCUACGGGAGGCAGCAGUAGGGAAUAUUGCGCAAUGGGCGAAAGCUUGACGGAGCAACGCCGCGUGAGUGAAGAAGGUCUUCGGAUCGUAAAACUCUGUUAUUAGGGAAGAAAAAAUGUGUAAGUAACUAUGCACGUAUUGACGGUACCUAAUCAGAAAGCCCCGGCUAACUACGUG
rnacentral:rRNA from 1 species